ACGAAAUCCUGGCUACGGGCCUGGCCCCAACUAACCCAGAAAUCGACAAUUUGAUUAUUGGCUCAAAUUCAUGGUACAAUUGGGGCUACACUUUCUUUGAGGACUGUCAGCUGUGGAUGGGCAAAAACAUUUUUUUCAAAAAGAAAAGCUCUAACAGAAAUCUCAAUGAAUGUCUCUCAUAUUAAUCAAGAGAACUUCCAUUUAGGGAUUUCUUCCCAGCCCAGUACAGACAUUUACUUGCUAGAAGUAUCAGUCAGUCCUCCUCUUUGCAGAUUCAACAAUUUAUUGGAACUCUGGCUGGCUGCUGCUAUGGCGAGACAAAUCUCUCCUUUAACCUGAUUGGGGCUUUCUGAUGCUGAGGUGAGAAAUGUAGUUUAGGGCGGGGACCUUUGAAUUCCCUGGUGUAGGACUCCUCACCUUCCCAAACUAAAUUUCCCAGAAUUUUAUGCAGGCAAAAUGUCAGAAGAGAAUGCUUCUAGAAUAUGGCCAUAUAGCCCAAAAAACCUACAACAGUACUAUAUUUUAAUUGUAGCUAUAUGAGUUUUUUCUUUCUUCUCUGCUUUUAAAAAUGUAUGUUACUUUAAUUGUAAAUUACAUUUGUUUGUAUUCAAAAUUAAUCAAUAAAUAACUUUUUAAAAGAA